rnacentral:lncRNA from 1 species
CUCUCAGUUGACUGCCAACUAACGGUGUGUUUUCGCCAUGAAUCUUGAUCUUCUGGCAUGGGACAUUCUGAGAUUUGGUUACCAGCAAAUCUUGUGGCCUGGAAAGUUACAUAACUGAAGGCUUGAUUUUGGAUUUUGCUCUGAAGUUUAGUUUGUGUUCCACCCACAGUAAUUAACAUAACCCUCUUGAAAGCGGAAACCAGGUCUGUCUUAGCCUCUUUGGUUUGUCCUCUUUUGCUUACAUAGGGUGGGCAGUUAGAAGAGGGACUCAGCGAAUGUAUAGUCAGGGAUUCAUGCUCAGGAACUUCCCUGAGACUCAGAACACUCCACCUGUAACAACACCGCACCUGAGCAAGGUUUUGGUUGUGCCAUGCCUCGGGACAAGCAGGUAGCAUCCAUAGAAGCUCCCCUCCUACGUUUCAGGUUGGCUCUGGUUAACUCGUUCACUUCGUCAGCAUUUACUGAGCACCUACAAUGAGCUGGGCCCUCAGAGCUGAAUAAGAUACAAACCUACUGCUCCAUGAGGUCAGGAUGUAAUGGAGGAAGGGGCAGUUUCAUCGAUCACGACUACAUAGUGUGGCAGGUAUUUACAAAAAUAUUUUCUAACUGUGAGAAGAGUCACUACGUCUUUGUCAUUCACAAAUUGAUCCAACACUUUCGUUAUCCUCGUAUAUUUCAUCCCGGCAUAAUCUCUUUAUCCGAGCUGCAGAGGAGAGAGUGCAAUUUGACUCCAAAUUAUGAGGACAGUCCCCAAAACACUCCUACGUGGACCAGAAAAGAUGGCAGGCUAGAGACAUCCAAAGAAAGCGAGGACCGAUCCGAGUCUCCCAGGGAGGGGCAUGACCUCUGGACUCCAGGAGCGCUAAUAUUGGCAGCAUCCAAACGUCCUUAAAGAAGGCCAUUAAGUUAGCUAAGCACAUUUACCUGGAACUUAAAUCGUGAUUCCCUUAUAUUUGGUAAGUUGUUAAGACUACGUGAUGCCAAUGAGCUUUUAUUAUAGUCACCAUCAGCAUGUGCAGUUAGGAAGGCUGCCCCGUCUGUUCUCCACUGAAGUGCUUCUCAGCAGAAAUCCUCCACACCUUCUUCAAAAGUCUCUAAUGACAAGUUUACGUUUGGAGGCCUUCAGUCACCCACUUUCACCCUCUUUCUCAAAGCUCUCAGUUGACUGCCAACUAACGGUGUGUUUUCGCCAUGAAUCUUGAUCUUCUGGCAUGGGACAUUCUGAGAUUUGGUUACCAGCAAAUCUUGUGGCCUGGAAAGUUACAUAACUGAAGGCUUGAUUUUGGAUUUUGCUCUGAAGUUUAGUUUGUGUUCCACCCACAGUAAUUAACAUAACCCUCUUGAAAGCGGAAACCAGGUCUGUCUUAGCCUCUUUGGUUUGUCCUCUUUUGCUUACAUAGGGUGGGCAGUUAGAAGAGGGACUCAGCGAAUGUAUAGUCAGGGAUUCAUGCUCAGGAACUUCCCUGAGACUCAGAAC